GUCUCGAACUCCUCAGCUCAAGUGAUUCGCCUGCCUUGACGUCCCAAAUGCUGGGAUUACAGGUGUGAGCCACCACAUUUGGCCUAAAACACUGUGAUCCAAGAAUUCUUCAUCCCUGUAUCUAUUUGCAGUGGUUAUUCCUCGUUCCUGCUAACCAGGGGAUAAAAGCACAUCUCCAUGAUUUGGGGUAGUUUCUUGAAACACAUCUGUUCUCCCUUUGCAGACACAUCAUCUCAGAGUUGGAGCACCUGACAUUUGUCAACACGGACGUGGGCCGCUGCCGGGCAUGGCUACGGCUGGCCCUGAAUGAUGGCCUGAUGGAGUGCUACCUGAAGCUGCUGCUGGAGGAGCAGGCCCGCUUGCGCGAGUACUACCAGCCCACUGCCCUGCUCCGGGACGCCGAGGAGAGCGAGUUCCUCCUGAGCUUCCUGCAGGGCCUCACGUCCUUGUCCUUCGAACUCUCCUACAAGUCUGCCAUCUUAAAUGAGUGGACGCUUACCCCACUGGCCCUGUCUGGGCUUUGCCCGCUUUCUGAGCUGGACCCUCUCUCUACCUCUGGUGCAGAACUACAGCGGAAGGAGUCUCUGGAUUCCAUUUCCCAUUCCUCAGGCUCUGAGGACAUUGAAGUCCAGCACUCGGGUCAUAAGAUCCGAAGGAACCAGAAGCUCACUGCCUCGUCCCUCAGCCUGGACACGGCCAGUUCAUCCCAGCUGUCCUGCAGCCUAAACUCUGAUAGCUGCUUACUCCAAGAGAAUGGCUCCAAGAGUCCAGACUGUUGUGAGGAGCCCAUGUCCUACGACUCAGACCUGGGCACAGCAAACGCUGAGGACUCAGACCGGUCUCUGCAAGAGUGAGUACCCUCCCCCGACUCCUUCCUGCCCUCUCUCCUCCCUCCCUUCUUUCUUUCCUCUCUUACUCCCUUUCUUCCUGUAGCAUGUGAUUGUCUGUCACUGAACUCUAGUAGUAAUUCAAGAAAGCCAAGGGAGACAUCGCCUUCUGCAGUAAUUGGAGUCGCUGGGAGCAGGCAACAUAAGCAUAGUGGAGAGAAUGGACUUAGAACAGCUCAGAGCUGGUUUGGGCUCCAGCUCUGCCUCGGUGACUUUUAGCAAGUUACUUGGCCGAAUGCAGUGGCUCACACCUGAAAUCCAAACACUUGGGAGGCUAAGGCAGGAGGAUUGCUUGAGCCCA